AUGGAGUUGCAGACCCAGGUCCUUAUGUCCCUGCUGCUCUGGGUGUCUGGUGCCUGUACAGAUAUCGUGAUGACCCAGUCUCCAUCCUCCCUGGCUGUGUCAGUAGGAGAGAAGGUCACCAUUAGCUGCAAGUCCAGUCAGAGUCUUUUAGACAGUGAUGACCAGAAGAACUACUUGAACUGGUACCAGCAGAAACCAGGGCAGGCUCCUAAACUGCUCAUCUACUGGGCAUCCACUCAGGAAACUGGGGUCCCUGAUCGCUUCACAGGCAGUGGGUCUGGGACAGAUUUCACUCUCACCAUUAGCAGUGUCCAGGCUGAAGACCUGGCAGAUUAUUACUGUAUGCAGGCUCAUACUGCUCCUCCCACAGUGCUUCAUCCUCCAACAAAAACCUCCUCUGAAAGUCUCACCAGCUGCCUGCACCACACACAGCCCUGGACCUGCACACUUCCCCCUUCUGCCUGAGAGCCUGAACAUCAAUGAACACUCACAAAAAUGUUUGCAGAGCCCAGCAAAAUUAAUGCGUUCAAUGUGUACUGUGUCUUUGGG